rnacentral:rRNA from 1 species
GAGUUUGAUCCUGGCUCAGGAUGAACGCUAGCUACAGGCUUAACACAUGCAAGUCGAGGGGCAUCAGGAAGAAAGCUUGCUUUCUUUGCUGGCGACCGGCGCACGGGUGAGUAACACGUAUCCAACCUGCCCUUUACUCGGGGAUAGCCUUUCGAAAGAAAGAUUAAUACCCGAUAGCAUAAUGAUUCCGCAUGGUUUCAUUAUUAAAGGAUUCCGGUAAAGGAUGGGGAUGCGUUCCAUUAGGUUGUUGGUGGGGUAGCGGCCCACCAAGCCUUCGAUGGAUAGGGGUUCUGAGAGGAAGGUCCCCCACAUUGGAACUGAGACACGGUCCAAACUCCUACGGGAGGCAGCAGUGAGGAAUAUUGGUCAAUGGGCGCUAGCCUGAACCAGCCAAGUAGCGUGAAGGAUGAAGGCUCUAUGGGUCGUAAACUUCUUUUAUAUAAGAAUAAAGUGCAGUAUGUAUACUGUUUUGUAUGUAUUAUAUGAAUAAGGAUCGGCUAACUCCGUGCCAGCAGCCGCGGUAAUACGGAGGAUCCGAGCGUUAUCCGGAUUUAUUGGGUUUAAAGGGAGCGUAGGUGGACUGGUAAGUCAGUUGUGAAAGUUUGCGGCUCAACCGUAAAAUUGCAGUUGAUACUGUCAGUCUUGAGUACAGUAGAGGUGGGCGGAAUUCGUGGUGUAGCGGUGAAAUGCUUAGAUAUCACGAAGAACUCCGAUUGCGAAGGCAGCUCACUGGACUGCAACUGACACUGAUGCUCGAAAGUGUGGGUAUCAAACAGGAUUAGAUACCCUGGUAGUCCACACAGUAAACGAUGAAUACUCGCUGUUUGCGAUAUACAGUAAGCGGCCAAGCGAAAGCAUUAAGUAUUCCACCUGGGGAGUACGCCGGCAACGGUGAAACUCAAAGGAAUUGACGGGGGCCCGCACAAGCGGAGGAACAUGUGGUUUAAUUCGAUGAUACGCGAGGAACCUUACCCGGGCUUAAAUUGCAGUGGAAUGAUGUGGAAACAUGUCAGUGAGCAAUCACCGCUGUGAAGGUGCUGCAUGGUUGUCGUCAGCUCGUGCCGUGAGGUGUCGGCUUAAGUGCCAUAACGAGCGCAACCCUUAUCUUCAGUUACUAACAGGUUAUGCUGAGGACUCUGGAGAGACUGCCGUCGUAAGAUGUGAGGAAGGUGGGGAUGACGUCAAAUCAGCACGGCCCUUACGUCCGGGGCUACACACGUGUUACAAUGGGGGGGACAGAAGGCAGCUAGCGGGUGACCGUAUGCUAAUCCCAAAAGCCUCUCUCAGUUCGGAUCGAAGUCUGCAACCCGACUUCGUGAAGCUGGAUUCGCUAGUAAUCGCGCAUCAGCCACGGCGCGGUGAAUACGUUCCCGGGCCUUGUACACACCGCCCGUCAAGCCAUGGGAGCCGGGGGUACCUGAAGUACGUAACCGCAAGGAUCGUCCUAGGGUAAAACUGGUGACUGGGGCUAAGUCGUAACAAGGUAGCCGUACCGGAAGGUGCGGCUGG